UCGGUGAUCUAGUGGACAGCUUGGGGGACGCUUGUGACGCAAGCCAGAGCGAUGUUUUUUUACAUGCAGAGGAGCAGCAACAGGUUUGUUUCUAUGAAGUUAUAGACUUUGAUCAUGAAAGGAGAAGUCUCAGGAGUGAGUUUCCAUCUGGCUUUCAAGAGUCCCUCUUAAGAGCAGAGGAUCCUGUUGGGGAAGCCCUUCCUACAGAUCCUGAUGCCUUCCAGCACACCGUUACAGCGCAGCUGGUGCAUCACCAGAGGGUUCUCCAUGGCCCCAGGAGUCUUGGUCUCAUUGGGGAUGAUGCAGCGUACAAAGUGAGGAGGACUCCACCCCUGGACUCAAAGUACAGUCACACAUCUGUGUCAAGUCCUCUCUCAUGCUAUGGGCUCCCACAGACCCCCCUUCAUCA